rnacentral:rRNA from 1 species
UGGCGGCGGGGAUAAGGCAUGCAAGUCGAAUGGGUUUAGACCCAUGGCAAACGGGUUCAGAUAACAUAGGAAUCUACCUUGAAGUCGCGGAUAAUCUAGAGAAAUCUAGGCUAAUACGCGAUAUGUUCUACGGAAUAAAGAUUUAUCGCUUCAAGAGGAGCCUGUGUCCUAUCAGCUUGUUGGUGAGGUAAUGGCUCACCAAGGCUAUGACGGGUAGGGGGUAUGAGAGUAUGGCCCCCAACAUUGGAACUGAGACACUGUCCAAACACCUACGGGUGGCUGCAGUCGAGAAUAUUCCACAAUGGACGAAAGUCUGAUGGAGCGACGCCGCGUGCGGGAUGAAGGUCUUAGGAUUGUAANCCGC